GAUGAACGCUGGCGGCGUGCCUAAUACAUGCAAGUCGAGCGAACAGACGAUGAGCUUGCGCCUCUGACGUUAGCGGCUGACGGGUGAGUGACACGUGGAUAACCUUCCUAUAUUACUGGGAUAACUUCGUGAAACCGGAUAUAAUACCGGAUAAUAUAUUCAACCGCAUAGUGCAGUAGUGAUACGGGGCUUUCCCGUUACUUUGAGAUGAUGCCGGGCUGCAUUAGCUAGUGGGUAAGGUAACGGCCUACCAAGGCGACGAUGCGUAGCCGAUCUGAGAGGGUGAUCGGCCACACUGGAACUGAGACACGGUCCAGACUCCUACGGGAGGCAGCAGUAGGGAAUCUUCCGCAAUGGGCGCAAGCCUGACGCAGCCACGCCGCGUGAGUGAUGAAGGCCUUCGGAUUGUAAAACCCUGUUGUUAGGGAAGAACAACUGUGGAAGUAUCUCCGGAUGUUCUGACGGUACCCAAUGAGAAAGCACCGGCUAACUUCGUG
rnacentral:rRNA from 1 species